rnacentral:rRNA from 1 species
UACGAAGGGGGCUAGCGUUGCUCGGAAUCACUGGGCGUAAAGGGUGCGUAGGCGGGGCUUUAAGUCAGGGGGGAAAUCCUGGAGCUCAACUCCAGAACUGCCUUUGAUACUGAAGAUCUUGAGUUCGGGAGAGGUGAGUGGAACUGCGAGUGUAGAGGUGAAAUGCGUAGAUAUCUGGAGGAACACCGGUGGCGAAGGCGGCAUCCUGGACCGGCAUUGACGCUGAGGCGCGAAAGCUAGGGGAGCAAACGGG